UCUUCUGUGCAGGGAGGGUGUGGGCAGUGGAGUACCCGUACUCUCUCCGCUGGUCUCCGGCAAGGAGUCUUGGAGCCUCCUCUCCGAUUCCCCCAUCUGCCCCCCUUCUCUACUGGUGUUACGCUGAUUUCCUUCCCCAGCAGACGGGCUCCCUCUCUCCCUACUGGGACCCUCUCCGCCAUCCCUUUGGAGCCUUCCCUCCGCUUCCAGCUCCAAUGGCAGUUCCCUGACAUUAGGGUAACAAAGAAAGUGGCUUUGUGCCAGAGGGCAAAUGGGUGGGCCUCCCUCCCUCCCCAGCUGUUGGUGAGAAGGGUCAGAGUUGGGUUAAAAGCAGAUAGCAGGCAGAAACCUGAGAGGGAGAGAAAUAUUUGAUUUCUGCUUGACUCCAAGGCUGUGGCUACAGGAGAAGCCAGACCUUCUUGGGGUGUUAAUGCUGUGAGACCCUCCACCAUAGGCUCAGGUUGUAUAUAUGUGUAAAUAAACCAUAUAUCCUAAAGACACCACAGUCUCCACUGCCCCUCAUUCUGAGGAAACCAAGCACCUGGACCCCUUGGGGUCUUGCACCAUUUGGAGUGUGGGGUGGCAUGCAACAGUAUGUACCUUUGGCCACAAUCAUAGAACGAGUUGCUGGAAUUGUCAUUCUGCUUGUUCAGUGUCCUUCCCUUAUAUGUCCUCAAGUUAAAUCUCCUCCCCCCCCCUUUAUUCUGCCCUUCCUCCAUGGAACUCUGGAAAGUGUACAUGAUAGCUGCUUCCAAAUUAUCCCGUGAUGUAUUUUAAGCAGAGAGGCAGUGAGAUUUGCCCAAGAUGACACAGCAACCGACACAGCUACAUGAAGACCUAAAGUCCUAAGUCAGAUAUUCUAACCAUUACCCCACACUGAUACUCAAAUCUCUGGCAGACUGGAGGUAGGGUUUGUCAGGACGCAUGUAUAACCUGCUCUUUCGUGUGCUACAGUGAGAUUCUUUUGGAAUAGUGGAUAUUGCAGGAGAAUUAUGUUUUUCAAGUACAUAAUUUAACCACAGUUACAAAUAACCUCUUUGCUCUUAAAUGAUUCCAGGAGAGGUUGCUAUAAACUAAAGAAAUAGUGCAUGAAGCACUAUGCCACUGUUUUCCAAUGUUGGAGAAUAUGAAAUCAGUUCUCUUUGCUCUAAGAAUUCAUAUAAAUAAGUUGUCCAUACAUAAACCAAGGUACACAACUUCCCAGGCCACCCUUUUAUAGUUCCCAUAUUUCUUUCCACUAAGAACAAAAAAGCUAAUCAUGUUUUUUAAAGAACUUUUCAGCUAAAAAGGAAUAUGUUUCCAGAAAUCAGGAGUGCAUUGAAAGUUAUUGGAGUUAAAUUUGGCAUAUGCAGGGCGGGGAUCCCUGACGAAAUGUAGUGUGGGAUGUAAGCAUCUUAAUGAAUGGAAAGAGCACUUCUUCCAUUAUCAACCUAUCACAUGUUCUCUCCAUUCAUCCUAUCAGAAUAUGAGUCACCUUUUAUAGUUGCAAAUGUUCCGAGAGGGAUUAUAUACACAACAACUCCCAGGAAUGACUCUUUGGUUAUCUGUGUUCUUGAUGACUUCAAAAUUACUGUAUACAUAGACGGAUUUGAACAUUUGAUUCUCUGCUGUAUGUAAUAGUAUAUUGAUUAGAGACAGAGUCUGGAAAACAUUACAUCUCUGUUGUAUGUGUGUGUGUUUUCACUGUUUCUCCUGAAAUCUCUUAUGGAACAAUAGUGGUGUCUGAGGUUUGAAUGCCAAGUUCUCUGUGAGUUUGGAAAAAUGGUUAGAUACUUUCAGUUCACAAGCCGUCUGAACAGCUGUGUGGGCACAACUUAAACAUUGAAACUACAAUCACUAGAAUUUCCAGUGAGAUCCAUUAAUUCCAAAGCAAUUCACCUCCCAAGUGUGUGGGAUGCUGGGAGCUCCCAGUCUGUUUGGGAGGAGAAAAGAAGAGAACACAGAUUGGCGUCUUCUGUAAUAAUUUAGAGGCUACUGGCUGUAGUUCUUUGCUCUAAAUGUUAAUAGACUUGAGUAAUCAGAACCCACUACUGGUAAAUUAUUUAUCAUAUCUUUGGAACUCAGGAAAGCAACUCAUCCAGCAACUUCUAUAGAAACAUACUGUUGAAAGGUACUUUGGUCAAGAAUUCCCGGCUGGAAUUUUUACUUUUACCAAGGAAAGAGGGUGUGUGUGUGUUUGGGAGCAUGUGCAGAUGUAGCUGCCAAUGCACAUGUUUUCAGGAAGAGAUGAAGUCAUGACAAGAUUAGCAGAAAAAUUCAAUUAGGGCUGACUUCACCAUGGCAGCCAAACAGGUCAAGUUUGGGACGGUGACGAAGGCGUUUGUUAUUAUCAGAAAGCCUCUAGUGCUUGCCAAAAGUAAUGUAACUUCUUGCAUUGAAGCCUGGAUUUGAGCCAAUGAAACUUCAACCUACUUUUAACAGAAGUACUUCUUCAGAGAAGCUGUCAGCCAUUUCUAAGAGAGAAAUCCUAUACGGCAACUGUGCUGGGGGCAGAGACAGGCUGCUGUUCCGCAGGCAGCACGGACAUUGUACAGAGCAUCCUUUGCAAGAUGGGGGCAAGCCACUGUGCUUGUCUUUACAUAUGUAUGUUGCAAUGUGCAGACACACAGUCACAUGCAUAUAUGUAUUCUAUGCAUUUAAUAAACUUUG